rnacentral:rRNA from 1 species
GACGUAGGGCGCGAGCGUUGUCCGGAUUUAUUGGGCGUAAAGAGCUCGUAGGCGGCUUGUCGCGUCGUCCGUGAAAACUUGGGGCUCAACCCCAAGCUUGCGGUCGAUACGGGCAGGCUAGAGUUCGGUAGGGGAGACUGGAAUUCCUGGUGUAGCGGUGAAAUGCGCAGAUAUCAGGAGGAACACCGGUGGCGAAGGCGGGUCUCUGGGCCGAUACUGGCGCUGAGGAGCGAAAGCGUGGGGAGCGAACAGG